rnacentral:lncRNA from 1 species
GUUGCCUUAAAUUGUGCUCGUUGGAUAAAAUGGUGAUGAACAUUGACCAUCUCCUUGUCCACUUUUUCUUUUCAUUUUUAUAACUUGUUCAUUAUCUCUAUCGAAAAUUAGAAAUCAAACGUCGAUGAUGAAACCUACUACAUAAGUACAGUCAAAGAAACAUCUCUUUGCACUGAAUUUUUUUUAUCAGAUAAAAUGAUGGUUGAAAGUGAUUAUCUCCCUCUUUAUUUUUUUUUCAAGGAUAAGAAGAAAAUCUCUCCACAUUGUUCUUCGACGAUCGGCGGCAGCGCUAUGAAAAUCCUUUCAUUUCCUCUUUAUUUUCAUACCCGAAAAUCCUUUUCAAUAAAAGAAGAGUAUUUCCCCCAAUUAAUUUCUCAAGUCCCACUCCAUUUUCACAAUAUGUGAAAUUUCUAACAGGUAUUGGAUGAAAGGUAGAGAAAUUUUCGAACAUAAAAGAGUACAAGAUUUUGCUUGAUGGAGAAGACAGGAGAAAGAAAAGAAUUGAAUAGAAAAUAAAAAAGAAAAAAGAAAAGGGGAAAAUAAUUUUAGACAUAAAAUAGUACAUUUUUUUUGUUCAUCUCUCUUGCUCUCUUUGACAGAGUGAG